rnacentral:rRNA from 1 species
UUCGCCAGGGGACUACAAGCAUUAGCUUCAAACCCAAAGGACUUGGCGGUGCUUUAGACCCACCUAGAGGAGCCUGUCCUAGAACCGAUAACCCCCGUUCAACCUCACCACUUCUUGCCCAACCCGCCUAUAUACCGCCGUCGUCAGCUUACCCUGUGAAGGACUAAUAGUAAGCUAAAUUGGCACAGCCCUAAACGUCAGGCCGAGGUGUAGCCUACGAAGUGUGCAAGAGAUGGGCUACAUUUUCUGACCCAGAAAACCACGGAAGAGAACCUGAAAUAAGUCUCCGAAGGAGGAUUUAGCAGUAAGCAGGGAAUAGAGCGCCCUGCUGAAACUGGCCCUUAAGCGCGUACACACCGCCC